UACAAUUAUCAUCUCCACCCGAUAUAUGAUUUCCCUGAACCUAUUAAAGAUUUAUUUUAUGUAGAUGGAUCUCUUAAGUUCAAUACUGGCCAAUGCCAUGGAAGUGCUUUAUCAUUUAAGUGAGUGCAGAAGAUGUAGUCCAAAUGGAGGAGUAUGAUUUGAGAUUGAAAGCAAAAUAAUAAUGUUAGUGUCUACAAAUGAUCAGAAUAGACUGGCUAUUCAUCACCGACUGAGAGUAGUAUAAUGAAUGAUCUCAAUCUGACCAUUUCUGAGUUUUCUUUAUUUGGAUCACUGUCCAAUGUUGGGGCCAUGAUUGGGGCCGUGGUCAGUGGGCUACUUGCUGAUUAUAUUGGAAGAAAAGGGGCACUGGUAGUAGCCUCAAUACCCAAUAUUCUAGGGUGGAUAGCCAUUUGUUUGGCAAAGG